GAUGAACGCUGGCGGCGUGCCUAAUACAUGCAAGUCGAGCGAACAGAUAAGGAGCUUGCUCCUUUGACGUUAGCGGCGGACGGGUGAGUAACACGUGGGUAACCUACCUAUAAGACUGGGAUAACUUCGGGAAACCGGAGCUAAUACCGGAUAAUAUUUCGAACCGCAUGGUUCGAUAGUGAAAGAUGGUUUUGCUAUCACUUAUAGAUGGACCCGCGCCGUAUUAGCUAGUUGGUAAGGUAACGGCUUACCAAGGCGACGAUACGUAGCCGACCUGAGAGGGUGAUCGGCCACACUGGAACUGAGACACGGUCCAGACUCCUACGGGAGGCAGCAGCAGGGAAUCUUCCGCAAUGGGCGAAAGCCUGACGGGGCAACGCCGCGUGAGUGAUGAAGGUCUUCGGAUCGUAAAACUCUGUUAUUAGGGAAGAACAUACGUGUAAGUAACUGUGCACGUCUUGACGGUACCUAAUCAGAAAGCCACGGCUAACUACGUG
rnacentral:rRNA from 1 species